AUGUGACAUACCUACUGUUGCUUCGGCGGGAUGCCCCCGGCGCCUAGCGUGCCCGGGACCCAGGCCCCCGCCGGAGGACCCAAACUCUUGUUUUUAUAUAGAACUUCUGAGUGGAUUAUUUUAAUAAUUAAAACUUUCAACAACGGAUCUCUUGGUUCUGGCAUCGGUGAAGAACGCAGCGAAAUGCGAUAAGUAAUGUGAAUUGCAGAAUUCAGUGAAUCAUCGAAUCUUUGAACGCACAUUGCGCCCGCUAGUAUUCUGGCGGGCAUGCCUGUCUGAGCGUCAUUUCAACCCUCAAGCAACAUCUGCUUGGUGUUGGGGACCGGCCGUAACAAGCCGCCCCCUAAAUCUAUUGGCGAUCUCGCUGUAGCUUCCUAUGCGUAGUAGUAACAUCUCGCAUGUGGAGAGCGGCGCGGUCAUGCCGUAAAACACCCAACUUUUUUCAGGUUGACCUCAGAUCAGGUAGGAAUACCCGCUGAACUUAAGCAUAUCAAU
rnacentral:rRNA from 1 species